rnacentral:rRNA from 1 species
GACGAACGCUGGCGGCGUGCCUAAUACAUGCAAGUAGAACGCACAGUUUAUACCGUAGCUUGCUACACCAUAAACUGUGAGUUGCGAACGGGUGAGUAACGCGUAGGUAACCUGCCUGGUAGCGGGGGAUAACUAUUGGAAACGAUAGCUAGUACCGCAUAAUAUUGAUUAUUGCAUGAUAAUUGAUUGAAAGAUGCUAUUGCAUCACUACCAGAUGGACCUGCGUUGUAUUAGCUAGUAGGUGAGGUAACGGCUCACCUAGGCGACGAUACAUAGCCGACCUGAGAGGGUGAGCGGCCACACUGGGACUGAGACACGGCCCAGACUCCUCCGGGAGGCAGCAGUAGGGAAUCUUCGGCAAUGGACGAAAGUCUGACCGAGCAACGCCGCGUGAGUGAAGAAGGUUUUCGGAUCGUAAAGCUCUGUUGUAAGAGAAGAACGGGUGUGAGAGUGGAAAGUUCACACUGUGACGGUAUCUUACCAGAAAGGGACGGCUAACUACGUG